rnacentral:lncRNA from 1 species
GUGUGUAUUAACACCCCGGCCUCCUCGCUACCUGUGUGUGUAUUAACGCCCCGGCCUCCUUGCUACCUGUGUGUGUAUUAACACCCCGGCCUCCUCACUACCUGUGUGUGUAUUAACGCCCCGGCCUCCUCACAACCUGUAUCAACUAUGGCCUGAGUAUGAUAGACUUAUCCAUGGUUUAAACAGAAUAUAUUGUUUUCAACUUUGAAAAUAAGAAUAUGGAAAUCCAGAUGCAGAAAUGUGAGAAGAAAAGAGAGUAAACAGAGUGGAAGGUCAGGUGACCUUGCCUGUCAUGAAUAUGAAGGUCAAGGUGUGUGAAUUGUGAAAUUUCCAAGAGAACCUCACUGAAGCAAAGAAUGGAGAAAGAAUCGCAUUUGGCCCUGGGAGCGUGCAGGGGUGAAUGGUGCAGGAGCUAAAUCUUUAUCAUACCCAGAAAUCAACAGCCACUAUUUGAAAUCAUCUAAAUUCGUGCUGCUAACCUUCAGUGUACACACAAAUCACCUGGGGAUCUUAUUAAAAGCUAGUUUCUGAUUCACUAAA